rnacentral:tRNA from 1 species
GCAAUAGUAGCUCAGCACCAGAGCGCCGGUCUUGUAAA